rnacentral:lncRNA from 1 species
GUGGGUCCGGCCAGCCCCGUUUCACUGGCAUCCUCUCCUCUCCGCCCACCUCCCUGGACCACCUUCAUCCCUGGCCCCACAUCCCAUCCACGGAGCCAGAGGAAAAGCGUGGGGCCUUCUGGGAGCUCCCUCGGAGGGGAGGGGAGGAGCCUCUUUCCCAGAAACCCUGGGAAAAACCUGGGGUUUCAUUGGCCUGAGCUGGUCACGUGCCCUUCCCUGAACCAAUCACGUGCCAGCAGGAAGGGGAAGGUGACUGCUUAAGCCAAUCAGGCCCCACCCUGGAGCUGUGGGAGGGUCAUUCAGACCACGUGACUGAGAGGGGACUCGGCGGUUCCCAGAGGAGAGUCUGCUGGGCUGGGUGGGAGGAGGUGGGAUGGAAGCUGGGGGCAGCGAACUACCGAGACGGAGAGCGCCGCCUGAGAUGGUUAAUCAUGACGUCGGAUCAAUGUGCAGUCCUCCCUGCGCUCCGCCCCGCCUCCCAGCGGAGCCCCCCGUGCCUCAGCUCUGUGCACUGACAGCCUCUCUGCCCUCAAGCCCGUCCCCUCCAGCACACCCUCCGCUCUGCCCCAGAGUGGUCCUCUACAGCACAAAGCCAACUGCGUCCCUCCCUGCUGGAUGCCCUUCCCAGACUCCACGGUGUCCUCGGGUCCAGGUCUCAUGUCCUUGGCCCUGCACCAGCCACACAGAGGCAGACAUCAGCCAGGUGCACACCAGGCAGAUGCCGCCCUGCUCAUGCUCCUGCCCUUCCUCUGCCUGGAUGCCCUUCCCUCCCUGUCAGCCUGGUGAGCUCUUACUCACUCCUCAAGACCCAGCCCCAAUGUCUCCCUUCUCUGUGAAGCCCUCCCUGAUUCUCACAGUAAAGUCGAUCCUCCCCAGGGGUUGCGGCAGACAGUGAUGGGCUGGGGUGGGUGAUAAUUUAGGGGUGACUGAGCAGAGACCUGAAUGAAGUGAAGGGACAGUAAUGGCAGCAGAGGGAAGCAUGUUCCUGGCAGAGAGAACAGCAAGUGCAAAGGUCCUGGGGCUGGAAUGGACUUAGCUUGUUUGGGGAACAGGAGGAGGUCAUUGUGGCUGGAACUCAGUGAGGGGGAGUAGGCAUGGGGACAAGGUCACAGCGUGGUCUGGUGGGUGGAUUGGGCAUGGUGGG